GGUUCUAGCUCAGUGGUAGGGCGCUUGCCUAGCAAGUGUGAGGCCCUGGGUUCGACCCUCAGCACCA
rnacentral:tRNA from 1 species